GACGAACGCUGGCGGCGUGCCUAAUACAUGCAAGUUGAGCGCUGAAGGUUGGUACUUGUACCAACUGGAUGAGCAGCGAACGGGUGAGUAACGCGUGGGGAAUCUGCCUUUGAGCGGGGGACGACAUUUGGAAACGAAUGCUAAUACCGCAUAAAAACUUUAAACACAAGUUUUAAGUUUGAAAGAUGCAAUUGCAUCACUCAAAGAUGAUCCCGCGUUGUAUUAGCUAGUUGGUGAGGUAAAGGCUCACCAAGGCGAUGAUACAUAGCCGACCUGAGAGGGUGAUCGGCCACAUUGGGACUGAGACACGGCCCAAACUCCUACGGGAGGCAGCAGUAGGGAAUCUUCGGCAAUAGACGAAAGUCUGACCGAGCAACGCCGCGUGAGUGAAGAAGGUUUUCGGAUCGUAAAACUCUGUUGGUAGAGAAGAACGUUGGUGAGAGUGGAAAGCUCAUCAAGUGACGGUAACUACCCAGAAAGGGACGGCUAACUACGUG
rnacentral:rRNA from 1 species